rnacentral:lncRNA from 1 species
CAAACUGCAGCUUCUGCUUCCCCCACUUCACUCUCAAAAACCAGUCUGAAAGAUGCAGAACUUAAUAUCCAGCAUAAACAGAACAGAUGACUGGGGAUACAAACAUCAUAAAGCCACCCCAAGACAGUCAUGCCUUCGGAUCAGGCUUGACCAGCUGUUGAAAGCAGGAAAAGCAGCCACUUGGUGGUUGCCUGCAGAGACAGUUUCCCAGUGGAAGAGUUGGAGAGGAACUGCUCCCACAGCAACCAAUGGCUCUUGAGGUGAAACCUGCCUGGAGUUCAAG